rnacentral:rRNA from 1 species
UACGUAGGGGGCAAGCGUUGUCCGGAAUCAUUGGGCGUAAAGAGCGUGUAGGCGGCCUGGUAAGUCCGCUGUGAAAGUCCAGGGCUCAACCCUGGAAUGCCGGUGGAAACUGUCAGGCUCGAGUCCGGAAGAGGCGAGUGGAAUUCCUGGUGUAGCGGUGAAAUGCGCAGAGUAUCAGGAGGAACACCAAUGGCGAAGGCAG